rnacentral:rRNA from 1 species
AAUCCCAAGUGCUUCCCUACAAGGGUGGCUUUUCUUGAGUUUAAAAAUCUUAAGGAAUAAAGGCUGGGUAAGACCGGUGCCAGCCUCCGCGGUAACACCGGCAGCCUGAGUGGUACUCACGUUUAUUGGGCUUAGAGCGUCCGUAGUCGGUUUAGUAAGUCCCCUGUGAAAUCCACCCGCUUAACGGGUGGGCUGGCAAGGGAUACUGCUUGACUAGGGGCCGGGAAGGGCCAGGGGUAUUCUUGGGGUAGCGGUGAAAUGUUAUAAUCCCAGGAAGACCAUCUGUGGCGAAGGCGCCUGGCUGGAACGGGCCCGACGAUGAGGGACGAAAGCUAGGGGAGCGAACCGGAUUAGAUACCCGGGUAGUCCUAGCCGUAAACGAUGCGGGCUGAGUAUCGCUGAAACCUCGUGUUUCAGCGGUGCUGAAGGGAAACCGUUAAGCCCGCCGCCUGGGGAGUACGGUCGCAAGGCUGAAACU